rfam:Rubrivivax gelatinosus IL144 DNA, complete genome.
GAAGCGGACCAGACCGCCGCCGGUGCAUCAGCGGAAACGCCGCACGGGAGGAAGGUCCGGACUGCACAAGGCAGCGUAGCAGCUAACGGCUGUCCACCGCGAGGUGAGGAUUAGAGCAACAGAGACGAGUCCGGGCGGAUGCAAGUCCGCCUGGGGUGAAACGGGCAAUCUCUACGCGCAGCAACACCGAAUAGGCCGGCGAUGAUGUCGCCUGCGGAGCCGGCGGGUAGGUGGCACCGAGCCGUGGAGCGAUCCACGGCCAAGAGGAAUGGCGGUCACGCCGCGCCCUGAAAGGGGUGCGGUGCACAGAAUCCGGCCUAUCGGUUCGCUUCACAC